GACGAACGCUGGCGGCGUGCCUAAUACAUGCAAGUUGAGCGCUGAAGGUUGGUACUUGUACCGACUGGAUGAGCAGCGAACGGGUGAGUAACGCGUGGGGAAUCUGCCUUUGAGCGGGGGACAACAUUUGGAAACGAAUGCUAAUACCGCAUAAAAACUUUAAACACAAGUUUUAAGUUUGAAAGAUGCAAUUGCAUCACUCAAAGAUGAUCCCGCGUUGUAUUAGCUAGUUGGUGAGGUAAAGGCUCACCAAGGCGAUGAUACAUAGCCGACCUGAGAGGGUGAUCGGCCACAUUGGGACUGAGACACGGCCCAAACUCCUACGGGAGGCAGCAGUAGGGAAUCUUCGGCAAUGGAGGAAAGUCUGACCGAGCAACGCCGCGUGAGUGAAGAAGGUUUUCGGAUCGUAAAACUCUGUUGGUAGAGAAGAACGUUGGUGAGAGUGGAAAGCUCAUCAAGUGACGGUAACUACCCAGAAAGGGACGGCUAACUACGUG
rnacentral:rRNA from 1 species